AUUGAACGCUGGCGGAAUGCUUUACACAUGCAAGUCGAGCGGCAGCGCGGCCUUCGGGCUGGCGGCGAGCGGCGAACGGGUGAGUAAUGCAUCGGAACAUGCCCAGUCGUGGGGGAUAACACUUCGAAAGGAGUGCUAAUACCGCAUACGUCCUGAGGGGGAAAGCGGGGGAUCGCAAGACCUCGCGCGAUUGGAGUGGCCGAUGUCAGAUUAGCUAGUUGGUGGGGUAAAGGCCUACCAAGGCGACGAUCUGUGGCUGGUCUGAGAGGAUGAUCAGCCACACUGGGACUGAGACACGGCCCAGACUCCUACGGGAGGCAGCAGUGGGGAAUUUUGGACAAUGGGGGCAACCCUGAUCCAGCCAUUCCGCGUGAGUGAAGAAGGCCUUCGGGUUGUAAAGCUCUUUCGGCAGGAACGAAACGGUGGGCUCUAACAUAGUCCGCUAAUGACGGUACCUGAAGAAGAAGCACCGGCUAACUACGUG
rnacentral:rRNA from 1 species